rnacentral:rRNA from 1 species
UACGGAGGGGGUUAGCGUUGUUCGGAAUUACUGGGCGUAAAGCGCGCGUAGGCGGACUAGUUAAGUCAGGGGUGAAAUCCCGGGGGCUCAACCCCGGAACUGCCUUUGAUACUGGUAGUCUUGAGUUCGAGAGAGGUGAGUGGAACUCCGGAGUGAUAGAGGUGAAAUUCGUAGAUAUUCGGAAGAACACCAGUGGGCGAAAGGCGGCUCACUGGCUCGAUACUGACGCUGAGGUGCGAAAGUGUGGGGAGCAAACAGGAUUAGAUACCCGCGUAGUCC